GACGAACGCUGGCGGCGUGCUUAACACAUGCAAGUCGAACGGAAAGGCCCUGCUUGCCGGGUGCUCGAGUGGCGAACGGGUGAGUAACACGUGGGUGAUCUGCCCCUUACUUUGGGAUAAGCCUGGGAAACUGGGUCUAAUACUGGAUAGGACCAUGCUGUAGGUGGUGUGGUGGAAAGAUUAGUUUCGGUAAGGGAUGAGCUCGCGGCCUAUCAGCUUGUUGGUGGGGUAAUGGCCUACCAAGGCGUCGACGGGUAGCCGGCCUGAGAGGGUGGACGGCCACAUUGGGACUGAGAUACGGCCCAGACUCCUACGGGAGGCAGCAGUGGGGAAUAUUGCACAAUGGGCGCAAGCCUGAUGCAGCGACGCCGCGGGGGGGAUGACGGCCUUCGGGUUGUAAACUCCUUUCAGCCAUGACGAAGCCUUCGGGUGACGGUAGUGGUAGAAGAAGCACCGGCUAACUACGU
rnacentral:rRNA from 1 species